CAAUCUCUGUCCUCUCCUGCGUUCUCAUUGUAUUAUACCCGUGUGUGUAGUGCAUAUUGCUCUGACGUUAUAGAAUUUUUGGUAGAUUGUGCGUCUCUUCUUGACAAAUUCUUUGCCCUGGUGAUCACGUCUAGAUUUAUUCAGCUCAUGUAUCUAUACCAUGUACUAUUUGCUACUAUAUAUAUGGUAUUGAUUGUAAAAAAAGGUGCAUAUUGCAAUUUUAAUGAAGAAUGAAUGAUUGUUUAAAUCAAGUGGAGAAUAAAUGUUCAUUAGCAUAUUGUUAUCUGACACAAAUAUAUGCAGUGGGUUUGAUGGCAGGUUGAUUAAAACCAUGGUAAACAAUCGACAUUGAGAAUCCCCGGAUCGAUGUAUUUUCGUGUGUGAAUUGGAAAAAAAAUCCUUAUUAUAGUCAUAACAGUGAUAAGGACUGUUAGACAAUUAAUGCUCUUUAUUUAUUUGUUUAUUUUAGUUUCCACACAGGAUGUUCUAAAACAUGUUCGUCUUACCUGAAAAAGCACUGCUAUGCACACGAGUAUCGACGCACGAUCCACAGAUGACAAGUCAGGUAGACCAUAGGAUUAACUGGGUUUUUUUUUAAAUCUGUGUGGCUCCUAAUCCCGUCGAGCGAAAUCAUCCUGGAGCCAAUCGUGUGCAGAGGGCUUUCGUACCUGAAAUGCCUACUUGUUAUGAAGAGAUCUAACAUGUAUCAUGUACUCCCUUUGUUUUAAAUUACUCGUCGUAGUUUUAAUUCAAAUUUGAACUAAAACCAUGACGAGUAAUUUGGAACGGAGGGAGUAUGAAGUAAUAGGUGGAUCAUGUGUCCCUCUUACAUAAGGGUCAUGUUAAAUUGUCAAACACUCAGAUGAUCUUUGAUCGAGAUAUAUAAACCACUAGCAUAUGUAUAUUUCUGAAACCAGUAUUUCAGCUGUCACGUGUCUUUGGCCGACGGCAAAUUGCAAACACAGCAAAGCUGGCUUCCCUUGAGAGAGAUCAAACUUGGGUAGCAGCAUAGCUCGAAUAAGUGUAUUGACUGAUUGACUAGCAACACACGCGCACACAGAAGAUAGUUGAUUGGAUAGCCACUAGCAUGUAAACAUGCAUGUUGUUUAUAUUUCUUCAACACACUGUGAUUGUGAAGCUAUCUCUAUAUUUCUACAAUUCGCUGUUGAUCUUUUAUAGAUGUUCAUCUCCCGACCUUAUCUAUAUUAACUACUGGUCAAUUUUAUGAAUUACUUGUUGGUGAGAAUUCUUCUGCAUCUGUUGUUGUCUUCUUGGCAUCAUCAUUCAAUCAUAUUUUCUAGACUAUUGAGUUCAGGAAUAUUUGUUGUUGCCUCAAUAUGUUGUGGAUUAUCUUAUUUUAUAGUUUCUUUUGUUGAGUGAAUAUCUCCAAAGUAUCGAACUUACAUUGUCUGCUCACAGAGAGGAAAAGAGGGGCUGACUGUAGGAUUCUAAAAUCUUUCUUUGCUGCCAAACUUUAGUGAUUGCCCUGCUGGAGAUUGUCAUUUUAAUAUACGUGCUGGCCCGGCUAAUUAGUGCUACGCUGUAUAAGUUCACAGUGGACUUGCAAUUGCUUAGUAACUGUAGUAGAUGGAAAUGUACCAACAUGUCGUAGUUAUGUUGUUAACUUGCUAUAUUGCUCCUUUCCUUUUGUAAGGUAUCUCAGACUGGGGGAUUUUUUGUUCAACAUUAGACGAAAUAUUCUGCUCAAUUUUUAUAUUCUACCAUUUGUUUCCCACACUUGUCUUUUGAAUUGUCCAUUUGUUAUUUGGAUUUUUUUAGAUUUAACUGUGUAUCCGACACACGUACAAUAAUAAUUUUGUUUAGAUAUGAAAAAUAUAAUAUCAUUGUCAGGAACUUCUACACCCGAUUAUUUCUCAUAUAUUUGGGGUCUGAUGCAGCAAAGGUAAUAUAUGCUUUGUGUUUUUAGAUUGAUAACAAUGAAUUAUUCCAGAUGUAAAAGGAAUUGCUAAAAUCAACUAGAACUGAUGCUACAUAAGUUUUUGCUUUUCAUAAUUAAAUUAUUUCCCUCUUGAUAAAAAAAACCAUACUAUUCUAGAGAACUUAGUUCACAAGACAGAAAAGAAGCAAAGGUGUAUUAUGCAACUUUCAAUAAGGUGGAAAUAAACAAGACUAGAGGUGGGUGGAGAGAGAGAUAGAGAUGUUACACAUGAUUCAUUCCUGAACCACUAGAACUUGUUGUUUUUUCUCUCAUCCGUUGGCCAUGCCCAUCCUUAGAUUGGGCUUGAUUUGUAUUUAUGCGUAACUGUGCACAUUUUGGUCAGCUAUGUGUCAUGUUUAGACUUUUCUGCGUUGUCUCGGCUGAAAGCCAUUUUUAUCGGAAUGUUGGUUGGUGCAUAUAGUUUUACUGCCAUGUAGAAGAAUGAAGUACUUAAGUGCUAUUUGUUUCUCUGCGAACGAAACUAGGUGUCUUUGUUACAAGUAAAUCAGGAUAAGAAUGGAAAUGACCCUGUUAGAUCCCCAUAAGUGGUACCGCAGUAGCCAGGAACAGAUUGACGUAAUCAACGGAUGAAUUGGUGUGUGUUAACCAUUUAAUUUGAACAUGGUAUGGCAAUUGUUGCACUCUGUUUUAGUUAGUUGAAACUAAUAGCUAGGAACGCAUCUUUGUAGUACUUUUCUGUUAAAUUUGUAAAUAUACAUUUUGCUUCAAGCAAUUUGCUAGCUAUUCAAGUUGGCAACUAGCUGGCAUCAUGUGAUGUUUCUUUUCCAUGUUAUUAAGACUUAUACAUAACUUAUUGUUUACAUGGUGGUCCAUUAUAACUAUUGUAAACUAAAAAUUUUCAACAAGGAGAUGUCUGCAUAUAACACCUUCAUAAUUGUUAUUACAUGACUAUAUGUUGUGAAAUCAUUUUUCAUAUGUCUAUUUUUUUUUCAUCACCCCAAUUUAGAAAUGAGCCUUCUGUUAACUCCUAAUCUUCCAAGUCAUUUUCUGUUCUGACAAACUUGUACCUUUUCAGACAGAUCAUUGUCAGCGAGUAAAAAAUUGUUCAAUUAAAUACUGGCAUUAUGUGCUCUAUAUUGGGAAUUUUGAAUGAAUAGUUUUGACAUAUUUUCUUCAGGAGAAUUUUUCGGAGCUUGAGUAAGCAACUGUAUCUACUUAUUUUGUUAAUCAGAUUUGUAGCACCCGAUAUGUUUAGGCAGUAGACUUAUUGGUCCAGAGAAGGAUUCCCAUGAUUCACCAAAAAAUUGUUGUACUAGGGAGUUUGCUUGUUUUGAUAGAAGUAGUAGUAAGGUGUGUAUUUGUACGUAUAACAUGUUUGGUGAGAGAGAGACUUGGAUAUUUCUCCAUCCAUAUUUUACUUGUUCUGAUGUAGACAUGCAAACAAGCCAAAAAUGAUCUCUAUGGAAUAAUGUUCCUGACAAGAGAUAGGGCUUUGUUCCUAUAUUACUAUUUUUGGGACCCUACAUUCUUUUAUCUAUAGCAUUUAUGCUUUAUGAGCUGCAUUUAUAAAUGGAUUAUAUCAGUGAUAUUAGCUAUGUGUGUGGACGGAUAUACAUAUGUGUGAGAUAAUUUGGGGUUGAUAGGAAAUCAUUAUUUUGAUGUUUUGUUAAUUGAAGUUUGAUCUUAUGUUCUAACUGCAAACAUGUGUGCCACGUUUCCUCAAUGUGAAGCGAAAGAAGGUCGUUGCGGUGGUCGGCUACCAGGAGUAUCUUGUUUGGCCUUGUACCAUGUCGGAUUGUCACUAUUUUUAAAAUCUACUUAUGACUAUUUUGUAAAGGUAUGUUGCAGAACCAUCUAUUUUUAAAAUCAAUAUAAUGCCGUUGAGAUUGGUGAAUGAGGCUUCGAAUAAAUUUGAAUUCAAAUAAAUUUUCUAAGGACAUAGCUUUGUUGGCAUAUAAUAUAUUGGUCAAAUUGAUUAUCUAGGAACAUGUGCACACCCCAUGCACUCGUAGUAGUUAUAUUUUCCUCUUGCAUUUGUUAAUUUAGGGAUUCACUUUAACAUAGUCACGUUAGACCUUUUUUUGCCAAACACAGUAACUUAGAUACUCCAUUGAAUAACUUACCAUGUGUUGGUAUUUAUUGCUAUAAAUAACACUGAGCCUUGUUCAUCACAAAUCUGUAUUGAUAUGUGUUGUGCUCUCUUUGAGAGAAGUGAACUCUGAAAACCCUCCUCAUUCCGAACAAUGAAAAUUCUUAGGCUGAAAGUACAAACUUUGUAGGACAAAUUGACAGAUUUGGCGAAAAAUGGGCGUAUUUGGAGCCGGAUGGAAAGAUUGGCAGAUUUGGAGCAGACUGUUGUCACAAUAACAAAAGAGCUGAAGUGGAAGGGCUCAUGGAAGAAGAGAUGGAAUGACAAUAAUGCAACCUUGACGUGUGGCUGUUGUAUGUAUUUGAGGUACGUAGGAAAAGAACUCUUAAUGAGGUAAAGUGAUGGGGACUCAUCUAAGGUGGAGAUGGAAACUGGGCCCAGAGGCAAACAUGGCAUUGUUCAUAGUCAGUUUGUGAAUGAACAUGUGGUGGAAAGAAUGUUUCCAUGUCCAUAUGCCUCCUUUUCUUAUUAUUCGUACUAAGCAAGCAUUAUUCUCCAAACCCCCAUAAUUCAAACGGAGGGUAAAGAUAUCAUGUGUUGGAAACACACCCCAACAGGUAAGUGCACUACUAAGAGUGCAUACAAGCUAUGUGUACAGGUUCUUCAUCAAGAAUGAGCUCCUCAACGAAGGCAGGUGUUUACUCUUGUAAAAACACUUUUUUGCUAGGUUUGGAAAGACAAUAGCAUUGCUCUGAGAAUUCAGACGUUUGCUUGGAGGCUUCUUGAGAGAGCAGUUCCAACAGGCAUGCGGGCUGGUAUGUAUGCCAGACACAUCUCCAAAUACUGCUCCAUGUGUGAGGCGGAGGAAGAUGACAUUCAUUUAUUUUUCUCAUGCCCAUUUGCUAAAGCUGCUUAGUUCUUAGAACCAUGGUUUCUUAGGUCUGAUUACUUUGUGCAACAUUACAGAUCAAUUCCUAAUAUUAUUCAAGCAAUCUUAAGUUCAGGACACCACUAUGCUUCCAUAUGCAAUCUAAUGACUUUUUCUGGUGUAUAUAGAAGGCGGGAAAUGACAAACAUUUUGGAAGAAAAUAGGGACAUCCAACUCAGGUGCAUCAAGCUGCUCAAGCUAUAAUGAAAGGGCUUCAGGUAGAGUCCAAAGUUACAGGUUUUAUCGGUCCACCCUUCUGACAGAUAAUCAGGUACUUGCAAGAGCUGCAAAUGCUGGCAAAUUUCAAACCCGGGACAUUGUGAAAUCCAUUCACAGAUAGCAGAAUACUUCAUUGUUUCCAAGUCUCUUAUGUUAAAGAUAUAUCACAUCAAAAGAGAUUUGAAUGGUGUUGCUCAUAACCGUGCAAAGGACUCACUGAAAAAGCUUUGUAUUAGCUACCACAUAUUAUAUUAGCUCAUACUGUACUGUAUCCCCUACCACAUACUGUAUUAGCUCAACUGAUAGGAGUAUCCAGUGUCCAGUGUUGCUCGCUUUGAGCAACUUUGUAAUCUAUGGAUUUCGUAUCCUUGAUGUAAGAUGUGUAUGAAAGAUCAAUGAAUAGCGCCCUCGGGCGCUCCUUCUGUUAAAAAAAAUUGCAUGGCAUAUGUAGUAGAAUGAGACAACAAAACAAUGGCAUAGAAUCCACAUGAAGAGUCAAGGGGCAAUGAGAUGAUGAUUUAUGUAUGGACAAAGAAGGCGAUGAACGGCAUGUUCAAUGGAGAAGAGAGGCUAGAGGGGUGCAUGGUGUUUGUUGAAAUACAUAGAAGAUACUUGUGUUUGUGUUGUGGUUGAACAUUACGUGCAAUGAGUUUGUUCGUAGGGAGUAAAAUGAGCAUUGUUUACAAA